CCCCCCCACCAGAGGCAAGGGGUAGGGAGCCGGAGAGUGCAGAGGGACAUGAAAUUUGACCACUGUGGCUGUGUUGUGCCCUCCUUCCCCCAUCUCAAGGGACGUGGCCCUUCUGGAGCACAGACUGUGACAUCUCUUCGGGGAAUGAGCUCCCUGAAUUUAUGGCCAGCUGCUCAGAGGAGCGUUCCCCUUGAUCUGCUCCGUACCCAUCUGAUGUGCGCGUUAAAGGAAUCCCCUAGUGUUCGGUGCUUUGGGAUUUGGUGAACGACUCUUCAUCCUGCCCUUCCAACCCUCACGGCAGCAUACACUGUAAUUUCAAAGGCAAAAGACCCUGAGGGUGAAGCUGAAACUACCCCCUCAAGCAAUAAUGACUACCCCAUGGCAGCAAGACCCCAAGGCAAUGAUCCACCUGACCUUUAUUGCCCACCUACGGAACCCACAGACCUUUGCCCCGUACUUGCCUUAUAUAAACCUGGAGGUCUUUUCAGCACUCUGGAGAUGGUCUUUGAGACGUUGGUCCUCUGUCUUGCUGAUGUCAGCCCCACUGAGAGCGGCUGCACCUGCUCAACUUUGGACCCCUGGAGCCAGGUAUUCUAGCACCCCUGCGCCCCGGCUACAGGGCCUGAUGCCGGGCCCCAAAACCCCAUCUCUAAGGAAUCCCUCCUUGAAGACCUCCAGGGGUUCUGGCCACUUCCCCAGCUGCUCUGUGUGCCUGUCACUGUGCUGUGACAAGGCAUUAUGCUCCGUUUGGCCGCUCAAGGGUGUCCUUCGACCUCACGGAAUGUGCAGGCCAGUAGGAGCCGUGCGCCUCGCUGAGUCCA